rnacentral:rRNA from 1 species
CAGCAGCCGCGGUAAUACGUAGGUCCCGAGCGUUGUCCGGAUUUAUUGGGCGUAAAGGGAGCGCAGGCGGUUUAGUAAGUCUGAAGUUAAAGGCAUUGGCUCAACCAAUGUAUGCUUUGGAAACUGUUAGACUUGAGUGCAGAAGGGGAGAGUGGAAUUCCAUGUGUAGCGGUGAAAUGCGUAGAUAUAUGGAGGAACACCGGUGGCGAAAGCGGCUCUCUGGUCUGUCACUGACGCUGAGGCUCGAAAGCGUGGGUAGCGAACAGGAUUAGAUACCCGGGUAGUCCCUGUCUCUUAUACA